rnacentral:rRNA from 1 species
GACGAACGCUGGCGGCGUGCUUAACACAUGCAAGUCGAACGGAAAGGCCCUGCUUUUGUGGGGUGCUCGAGUGGCGAACGGGUGAGUAACGCGUGAGUAACCUGCCCUUGACUUUGGGAUAACUUCAGGAAACUGGGGCUAAUACCGGAUAGGAGCUCCUGCCGCAUGGUGGGGGUUGGAAAGUUUCGGCGGUUGGGGAUGGACUCGCGGCUUAUCAGCUUGUUGGUGGGGUAGUGGCUUACCAAGGCUUUGACGGGUAGCCGGCCUGAGAGGGUGACCGGCCACAUUGGGACUGAGAUACGGCCCAGACUCCUACGGGAGGCAGCAGUGGGGAAUAUUGCACAAUGGGCGGAAGCCUGAUGCAGCAACGCCGCGUGCGGGAUGACGGCCUUCGGGUUGUAAACCGCUUUCGCCUGUGACGAAGCGUGAGUGACGGUAAUGGGUAAAGAAGCACCGGCUAACUACGUG